rnacentral:rRNA from 1 species
UACGAAGGGGGCUAGCGUUGCUCGGAAUCACUGGGCGUAAAGCGCACGUAGGCGGCUUUUUAAGUCAGGGGUGAAAUCCUGGAGCUCAACUCCAGAACUGCCUUUGAUACUGAGAGCUUGAGUCCGGGAGAGGUGAGUGGAACUGCGAGUGUAGAGGUGAAAUUCGUAGAUAUUCGCAAGAACACCAGUGGCGAAGGCGGCUCACUGGCCCGGUACUGACGCUGAGGUGCGAAAGCGUGGGGGAGCAAACAGG